GAGCAGCGACACCCGACCACGGAAGAGCUCGACCCCACUGCAGAUAUCGACUUCGAUGAGCAAUUUCCCAGACCGUGAAGCUUCUGCGCCCGACCCGAGACUCCGAAAUACACCAUCGAGUGGAGGCACCACUCCUAGGACACCGGAUUGGGCCCCGGCGACUGAAUACCUGCUGGUCCCCGGCGGCGGGGAACCAUGACGUCGAGCACCCGAGCUCCAGUCGCUACCCGAGCGAGCGAUUACGCAUCGAGCAUGCACAGCGCACCAUGGCGCCCACCGCAUAAAGACCGUCUGAGUCUGCACGAUCCGGCUGAACGACGGUGCCCAGGUCCGCUCAACGUGCAGGCGAUAAUUUCCCUGCCCGCCAGCGCACAGGUACAGGGCGGCGGCGUUGCUUUCUUUCUCACCACGACGGCACACAGUGGGCGAGCGUGGCUGGGACGUGCAAGGGCUGAGGCGGCGUGAUCCAGAAGGGAGGGGGAAGGGAGGACUCGGCAACCCCUUUUUGUGGCCGCCAAAGGUUAGUGUGUGGACGGUAGUCAACGGACUCCGAGAAGCGCGCAUGGUUGAGUUCCUCCGAUUCGUGCGGCAAAGGAGAGGGAGACGUCUAACGAACCGGGCCCACAAGAAAGUGAGAUGGAACGCAGGCACGCGCGGCUGUCCAGUGGCCCCACCCGACGGCGAGACACACAAUGCGACGCGGGUGUGAGCGGCAACCGGCUGGUAGAUGGGGCCCACGUGUAAGCGCCAAGAAUAAAGAAAAGGGGAAGGGAAGGAGAUGGGCUGCGCAGGAGGGAAACCGAGUUGGGCCAGAAAGGGGGAAUCCGGGCCCAGGUAAGGUCUCCCCUUUUUAUUUUAUUUUCUGUUUUAUUUCAUUUUUGUUUUCAAUUUCCAAAUUUGAAUUUUGCACCCUUUUAGGAGUUUCACCUUUGAGUAAAAUUUACAAAUUCCAAUCCCAUUAUAGAAAUAAUAUAUUUUAUUAUAUAUAAUUUUUUUAUUACUCAUUCCACUCACAUAAUAUUGUUUCCUUCUUCUCUUUUUCUAAAUCCUUGAAUUUCCUUUAGAUCUUAAAUUCCCUUUUUGGACUUUAAUAUAUUUCUUGUCACACUAUUUUUAUAUUGUCACCAAAUGCACACACAAAUAAAAUAUUCAGCAUGAUGCAAUGAUUUAGUAGCAUAUCUUUUUAUUAAUUGUUUUUGGACAUGGUGUUCACAUAUGAUGAUGCUUAAAGAUCAAACUCACAUAAAGAGAAAUUGUUUCUCUAUUGGUAUUAUUUCUAGCAAUUUACAAAGUGGGUGUUACAAAUCCUACCCCCCUUAAAAAUAAUCUCGUCCUCGAGAUUUAAGAAGAUCUAGGGAAAAGGUGGGGAAAAUCUAUGCGAAGCUCUUCUUCUCUCUCCCAAGUAGCUUCAUCUUCUCCAUGGCGACUCCAUUGCACUUUGCACAUCUUUAUCACCUUAUUCCUUGUAAAUCGGGUCAAUGUAUCAAGAAACCUGAUCGGGUACUCCGUGUACGUCAAAUCACCCUGAACGUUAAGCUCUUCCAUUGGUAACUGUUCCUCAGGUAUACGGAGACACUUCUUAAGUUGAGACGCAUGGAAUAAAUUAUGCACAUCGGAUAGAUUAUCAGUUAGCUCGAGUUGAUAGGCCAUCUAUCCAACUUGCCUAAAAACUCUAAAUGGUCCAAUAAAGUGAGGGAACAAUUUGUCCUUAACUUUAAAUCUCCUCAUCCCACGAAGUGGUGACACCUUGAGGUACACAUGAUCACCUUCCUCAAACUCCAUUGGUCUUCUCCUAUUACCAGCGUAGCUCUUUUGCCUGGUCCGAGCUACCCUCAAGUUCUCCUUGAUUAUACAGACUUGUUCUUCUGCCUCUUGAAUAAGUUCAGGUCCAAAGAACUGUCUUCCUGUAGUCUGGUCCAAAAAUAGAGGAGUCCUGCAUUUCCUACCAUACAGAGCCUUGAACGGUGACGUCUUCGGACUGGCCUCGUAACUAUUAUUAUAUGAGAACUCGGCAUAAGGUAGACUCUUGUCCCAACUACUACCAUGCUGAAGGGCACAAGCUCUCAACAUGUCUUCCAAUACUUGAUUAGUCCUUUUAGUCUGUCCAUCAGUCUGAGGAUGGUAAGCCGAACUAAAAUUCAACUUUGUAUCCAUAUUCUCAUGAAAACAUUUCCAAAAUCUGGGGGUAAACUGUGAUCCUCUAUCCAAAACGAUCUUCUUUGGUACACCGUGUAAACACACAAUCCGAGUCAUAUAUAACUCUGCUAGCUGAGAACCUUUAUAAGUAGUCUUGACAGGAAUAAAGUGAGCAACUUUGGUCAGUCUAUCCACAAUCACCCAUAUAGCAUCAUAUCCUUUCUGGGUGCGAGGCAAUCCAGUAAUGAAAUCCAUACCAAUCUCUUCCCACUUCCACUCGGGUAUCUUCAGUGGAUGCAAUAGUCCAGCUGGCCUCUGGUGUUCAGCCUUAACUCUUUGACAUACAUCACACAUAGCCACAUGUGCAGCUACAUCUCUUUUCAAUCCAUACCACCAAUACUUCCGCUUCAAAUCCUGAUACAUCUUAGUACUACCAGGAUGAAUAGAAUAAUCCGAGUCAUGGGCCUCCUUUAAAAUAGUCUCUCGCAGGCUUUUAACAUCAGGAACACACAUCCUGUCCUUGAACCAUACGGUGCCCUGUUCAUCUUCCAUGAAUUCCGGAACUCGACCUUCAGUAAUCAGAUCCUUAAUCUCUUGUAUCUUAGCAUCACCAAUUUGUCCUUUGCGGAUCUCUUGUUCCAGAGUAGGUUCCACCUCAAUAGUAACUCCCUCAGUAUGAGCAACUAUCCCCAGGUUAAGUCUUCUGAAGUCCUCAACAAUCUCAUCGGGUAGCUGGGCAACAACAGCUGAAUGAACAUGCUCCUUGCGACUCAAGGCAUCUGCAACCAAGUUUGCCUUGCCCGGGUGAUAGUGAAUCUCCAAAUCAUAAUCCUUGAUAAGCUCCAACCAACGGCGUUGCCUAAGGUUGAGAUCCUUCUGAGUGAAUAUAUACUUCAAACUCUUAUGAUCCGUAUAUACUUGGCACUUAGUCCCCAUAAUGUAGUGUCUCCAAAUCUUAAGUGCAUGCACAACUGCUGCUAGUUCCAAGUCAUGAGUGGGGUAGUUCAGUUCAUGCUUCCGCAACUGACGAGAUGCAUAGGCAAUCACAUGUCCUUCUUGCAUGAGCACACAUCCUAAGCCUUGGCCACAUGCAUCGCAAUAGAUAUCAAAUCCUUUCUGUAGGUCUGGCAUAACCAAUACUGGUGGCGACAUCAACCUCUUCUUCAAUAGAUCAAAGCUGUCUUGGCACUUCUCGUCCCACUUAAAUUCUCUUCCUUUCUCCAAAAGUGAAGUCAUCGGUUUAGCAAUCUUAGAAAAUCCUUCAAUAAAUCUCCGAUAAUAUCCUGCUAAUCCCAGGAAACUCCGAAUCUCAGUGACUGUAGCGGGUACUCUCCACUCCAUUAUCUCCUUAACUUUAGCAGGAUCCACUGAAAUUCCUCCAUUAGAAAUAAUAUGACCAAGAAAUGGCACCUCGCCAAUCCAAAACUCGCACUUGCUGAACUUGGCAUAGAGUUGAUUAUCUCGUAGCUUCUGUAGCACCAUCCUUAGAUGUUCCUCGUGAUCACUAUCACUCUGAGAGUAAAUAAGAAUAUCGUCGAUGAAUACCACGACGAAUCUGUCCAAAUACUCCAUAAACACCUUGUUCAUCAAGUUCAUAAAAUAAGCUGGUGCAUUGGUUAAUCCAAAUGACAUAACAGUAAACUCAUAUAAUCCAUAUCUCGUCGAGAAAGCUGUCUUAGGAAUAUCCGAUGGUCUAAUCCUCAUCUGAUGGUAACCGGAGCGGAGAUCAAUCUUCGAGAAUACUCUAGCACCUCGCAUCUGAUCAAAUAAAUCCUCAAUACGGGGCAACGGAUACUUGUUCUUCACUGUAACAUCAUUAAGAGAUCUAUAAUCCACACACAUCCGCUGCGAUCCAUCCUUCUUCUGUACAAACAAGACCGGUGCUCCCCAAGGUGAGGAACUCAGACGAAUGUACCCAGCAUCUUGUAACUCAGUUAACUACUUCUUGAGUUCCUUCAACUCCUCUACAGACAUCCUAUAUGGCCGUUUUAGAAAUAGGGGCAGUUCCAGGUAGAAGAUCAAUUACAAACUCAACUUCUCUAUCAGGUGGCAUCCCUGGCAACUCCUCUGAAAAGACAUCCGGAAAAUCUCUAACCACACGGAUGUUGUCUCCAAUAAACUCCUCAGGUAUAAAGAAAAUUGUCCGUUUGGAUGAGGUGGUUACUGCAAUAUUAACUUGAAAUCUUUCUCCUUUGGAACUAGUGAGUUCUAUGAUUCCCUUAGCACAGUGUAUAUUGUGUCUUUGCCUUUCUCAACCAUGACAUACCAAGGAUCACGUCUAUAGUGCUCUCUUCUAACACUAUAGGGGUAGGCCAUCUGGGUUAGGAACACAGGGUAAGAAAGAAAGGAUUGUAGACAAGGCAGGUGAUUACGAAUUAUGUUACUUUGGGGGAUUCAUUAGCUAAGUGUGUUGCCUACUAAGGCUAAUUCAUUACCUUAUAGUGGUACAUGCUAAGAUGCCCAACUAUAAUGUUUCAAUCAAUCAAAGAAGCAAAUCAAGCAUUUAUCAUCAGAACAAUCAACCAACAUUUUUUUAAAAAAAAUAGAGAAAAUAGUUUUAGUUUUUGUCGUAGGUCUCCUAUCUCUUAAAAAGAUCACAAAUGUAGGAUUCCCAGGUGUGAAAUCCAUCUUGUCUCAGAGUAGAAAAGAUAAGAUUAAUCAGAGUAGAGUAGCAGAAGGUGAGACAAGAUCAAGAUGAGAUAAGUAUAGAAUGAGUCAGAGUAAGGUAAGUAGGAAAGGGCCUGUCCAUUUCUAUCUAGGUUUCGUCCUACAGUCAACAUCCGCUCUGAUACCACUUCUGUAACACCCGGAUGUUAAAGGACAAAGCCGGGUGCAUCUCAUACAUGCGCCAAGAAGACAACAUAUAUAAUAACAGAGUGUAUAGAUAUAAAUGUCAUAAAUCAUCAGAGUAUUUAUUACAUAGCGGAAGACUUAUUACAAAAUAAGAGAUAAAUAUAAAACGAACUAAGGAUCGUCGGCGCCAAUGUCGACUGGGAAACGCCACCUAGAUCAGAUCGAACUCCUCAGUGUUAGGCGGCUCCUCCUGAACCACCUGAUCAUCUCCUGUGGGGGGGGUGUGAGACAGCAAGGGUGAGCUCACACAUGAUCAUCGCUCAACAAGUUGUGGGGAAUAAUGUGACAUGAACUCACCAAAGGUGGGAGCUCAUGUGAAGUGUAAGGCUGAUCAAUGAUAGGGGUUAAAGCUGAGCAUUGCUUUUAAGUAGUUGGUCAAAAUUUUAUUAGCAGUUACUAAGUGUAAGUAAAUACCAAACCAUAAAUAAAGUAAUUGAACAAAUUAAUAAUAAACCCAUGCAUAUGCAAAUGACAAAAUUGAAUUUAAGUUCCAUAAUUUAAACAUCAGAGAGUCCUGAGCUGCUCAUGACCGUGAGCUCGGCUAGUAUACCAGUUUUACACUCUGCAGAGGUUGUACCCUUUACCCACAAGUCAUGUUACCCAUCUGCCAAGGGGUCAUGAAUCCCAUACACCUCUACCUAGGAAGCGCGGCAGGGCAACACUACGAGGCCUUUACAAAGUUCCACUAGCUUCCGAAAACCCGCUACAGUUUAUGGGAAGAUCCAGUACAGGGUUCCUGGCUGACCGCCAUCGCAGCAAAAUCAACCAGGGACCUCCCCGCACUGACCUCUCCCCUACUGCCCUUGCCCCUUUCGGGUAAGGUAGUCUUCCACUAGCUUUCCUAGUUAAUCAGCCAAGGGCGUCCCAUUAAACCCUUGUGGUGGCACGUGGUUCUCAAGUUAAGCUCUAUGUUCCAAUUAACAUUAAUGAUAACAACAUGAACAUAAACAGAAUAACAACAAGAAUUGGAACAUAGAGGUGAUAAAUGAUUAUCCCAAAACCAUAUAAAGCAAUAGCAAACUACCCAAGUGAUUCAGGGGUAAACAAGGUAAUGAGAUAAACAAUCUAGGGUGACCUAUUGGGUCCCAUCAAAAUUAACCUAUGCAUGGAUAAGUGAUAUUAAAGAACAUUAUUGGGUAAAAAGUGGUCAAGGGCACAACUUGCCUUCAAUGAGCUCCUGCUCAGCUACUUCAACCUGCUGCUCACCAGGAUCCUCGGUCACGGGCUCUUCUACUCGCCACAAUACAAACAAGCACAAUAUGCAGGGAAAAAUUAACAUCACACCAAGCAUGUGAACAAAAUACACAGAAAUAUUCUACAUAUUAAAAUAAAAUCCUAGGAACAGAAAUCAUAAUUUUUCGAGUUAUAGAUUUUAAGUUAUGAAUUUUCAAAGGUUUCAUGUGUUUUAAAUAGGAUUAAGUGUGGGAUUAAUUUUCUUACUGUUGUCAUGAUAAAAACAGAGGCUCUAAGUGGUAGAGAAUAAUAUUACAACAUUUUAGAAACUGGAAUGGAUUAAUUUGGAGUUAGUAUGAAUUUUCUAUGAAUUAUUGAAGUUCUAGCAAUUAUUUUCAUAUUAAAAACCCAUUUUCUAUUUCAUUUAUUCAAAUUAAAUGAUCUCAGGACCGGGCCUCAAUAAAUGGAAAACGCAGGGGCUACGGAGUAAGAAUAUGUAGACUCAAAGAAUAGCAAUCUCUGGACGGCGGGUUGUUAUUCUAAAACUUCAGGGGCUCUUAAGCAAAUAAGCCAACGAAGGGGUAUCGUGGCAUCUUGACCGUGGGAUCUGAUAUGGAGGGCUCGGAUUAAAUCUGCAUAAGCGCUGAACCGGUACACGAUCGUGGUCGUCGGAUUCGCGAUCAACGGCUAUGCUUUUAAGAUGAUGCGAUCUACUCUGGAUCACCGGAUCCAAAUCUAACGGCCUGAGUUCAAUCCAGGUGAAGGGGUACACGGUUCUAAUCUUGACCGUUCAAUCUAAAUCUGGUGGCCGCAACAUCAUUAACCCUAGAUCAAAUCUUGGUCCUUGGUCUGCGAUGAACGGUUAGGAGUGCUUCUCCAACCUUCGGUCACCAGGUGACGGCGCCCAAAUUGGGCACGGUGGCGCCAUUGCCGUGGCCCAGGAAUUCACACGCUUAAACGCCAAAACUUCAAACCGACAAGAGUCACGCAGAGAUAAUAGCAGGGAGGAUCUUGCGGAGGGUUUCUCACCGGCGAUUUUGGAGCAGCGACACCCGACCACGGAAGAGCUCGACCCCACUGCAGAUAUCGACUUCGAUGAGCAAUUUCCCAGACCGUGAAGCUUCUGCGCCCGACCCGAGACUCCGAAAUACACCAUCGAGUGGAGGCACCACUCCUAGGACACCGGAUUGGGCCCCGGCGACUGAAUACCUGCUGGUCCCCGGCGGCGGGGAACCAUGACGUCGAGCACCCGAGCUCCAGUCGCUACCCGAGCGAGCGAUUACGCAUCGAGCAUGCACAGCGCACCAUGGCGCCCACCGCAUAAAGACCGUCUGAGUCUGCACGAUCCGGCUGAACGACGGUGCCCAGGUCCGCUCAACGUGCAGGCGAUAAUUUCCCUGCCCGCCAGCGCACAGGUACAGGGCGGCGGCGUUGCUUUCUUUCUCACCACGACGGCACACAGUGGGCGAGCGUGGCUGGGACGUGCAAGGGCUGAGGCGGCGUGAUCCAGAAGGGAGGGGGAAGGGAGGACUCGGCAACCCCUUUUUGUGGCCGCCAAAGGUUAGUGUGUGGACGGUAGUCAACGGACUCCGAGAAGCGCGCAUGGUUGAGUUCCUCCGAUUCGUGCGGCAAAGGAGAGGGAGACGUCUAACGAACCGGGCCCACAAGAAAGUGAGAUGGAACGCAGGCACGCGCGGCUGUCCAGUGGCCCCACCCGACGGCGAGACACACAAUGCGACGCGGGUGUGAGCGGCAACCGGCUGGUAGAUGGG
rnacentral:lncRNA from 1 species